UACGGAGGGUGCGAGCGUUGUCCGGAAUCAUUGGGCGUAAAGCGCGUGUAGGCGGCCAGGUAAGUCCGUUCUGAAAGCCCGGGGCUCAACCCCGGGAGGCGGAUGGAUACUGCGGGGCUAGAGUGCAGAAGGGGCAACUGGAAUUCUCGGUGUAGCGGUGAAAUGCGUAGAUAUCGAGAGGAACACCUGCGGCGAAGGCGGGUUGCUGGGCUGACACGUGACGCUGAUGCGCGAAAGCUAGGGGAGCGAACGGG
rnacentral:rRNA from 1 species